GUGGUGACGUACGAAGCUAGCGGCGUCUCUCAAAUUCUGGACUAAGAUACGCGGCCGGCCGGGCGGAGGUCAACAUUUUCUGAUCAUGGACGAUUUUGUAACAGAAAAACUGAAAGAAUGGGACCUUGAAAGGUUCAGUCAGAACUUUGAAGAUAAUGAAAUAGACCAACUUGGUCUAUGUCUUGUGAAUGAAACAACUGCUAAAGAGCUCAUCCCCCCGUCAUUGGAAAAUCAAAAAGUGGAAAUUACCUAUGAAACAGUUAUUAGAUAAGCCUUCUCUGCAAAACAAUUGAUAAUUAGAGCUGUA